rnacentral:rRNA from 1 species
GACGAACGCUGGCGGCGUGCUUAACACAUGCAAGUCGAGCGAUGAAGCUUCUUCGCAAGUGGAUUAGCGGCGGACGGGUGAGUAACACGUGGGCAACCUGCCUUGUAGCGGGGGAUAGCCUUCCGAAAGGAAGAGUAAUACCGCAUAACAUCGCGAACUCGCCUGGCUUUGCUAUCAAAGAUUUAUCGCCACAAGAUGGGCCCGCGUCGCAUUAGCUAGUUGGUGAGGUAACGGCUCACCAAGGCCACGAUGCGUAGCCGACCUGGGAGGGUGAUCGGCCACAUUGGAACUAAGACACGGUCCAGACUCCUACGGGAGGCAGCAGUGGGGAAUAUUGCACAAUGGGCGAAAGCCUGAUGCAGCAACGCCGCGUGAGUGAUGAAGGUCUUCGGAUUGUAAAGCUCUUUGAUUAGGGACGAUAAUGACGGUACCUAAAGAACAAGCCACGGCUAACUACGUGCCAGCCGCCGCCGUAA